GAUGAUGUCACAUAAAUAGCGAGUCCACGUCUUAAAAUUGUUUCCAUAAAGUACAGUGGUUCAGUGAAUGGGAAAGUUCUGGCGUUGAUCCUCACUGUUCUUAGGAAGGAGAAAUGUCAGUUUGUCUGCAGUAAUACUGUGACAUUGGAUUAAAACAAUACUCUGUCCUUGGUGAAACAGUCUUCACAUUUCCUCCAAAGUGUACCUAUUGUUUUAUUGUGCUAAUUUUAAUAAGCAUGUUGUCUGUAAACUUUGAAUGUAUUAACAAUUUGUACAAUUUUGUUAUAGAAUAUUGGCUCUUGAAAAAAAUGUGGGUAAUACUUUAUGUGACGGAGUGUCCAUAAGACUGACAUGAUACUGUCAUAAACAUGACAUAACAUCUGUUAGGAACAUA